GACGAACGCUGGCGGCGUGCUUAACACAUGCAAGUCGAGCGAUGAAGCUCCUUCGGGAGUGGAUUAGCGGCGGACGGGUGAGUAACACGUGGGCAACCUGCCUUGUAGAGAGGAAUAGCCAUCCGAAAGGAUGAUUAAUACCUCAUAAUAUUGUAGCUUCGCAUGGAGCAACAAUCAAAGGAGCAAUCCACUAUGAGAUGGGCCGGCGGCGCAUUAGCUAGUUGGUGAGGUAACGGCUCACCAAGGCGACGAUGCGUAGCCGACCUGAGAGGGUGAACGGCCACAUUGGGACUGAGACACGGCGCAGACUCCUACGGGAGGCAGCAGUGGGGAAUAUUGCACAAUGGGGGAAACCCUGAUGCAGCAACGCCGCGUGAGUGAUGACGGCCUUCGGGUUGUAAAGCUCUGUCUUCAGGGACGAUAAUGACGGUACCUGAGGAGGAAGCCACGGCUAACUACGUGCCAGCCGCCGCCGUAACAC
rnacentral:rRNA from 1 species